UCUAAUAUGGCAGAAAAGUGCAAUGAAUUUAAGAUUCAUA
rnacentral:tRNA from 1 species